GUAAAGGCGUCGAACGGGAGUAGUAGGCCGUAUCGACAGCGAGCUGCCGGGAGGUGCGAGGCAGCGCAGAGGCCGAACUCGCCCGGGAGCUGUGACGGUGAGGGCGACCGCCGGUAGUCGUCACCGGGUAACCUCCGUUAUCGGGUUGAGAGCGGAUAGGCGCGGGGCUGUAGCUCAGCUGGGAGAGCGCAACACUGGCAGUGUUGAAGUCAGGGGUUCGAGUCCCCUCAGCUCCACCACAGACCGCCUAUCAACCAGGGUGGUACCGCGGAAGACGAGCCUUUCGUCCCUGAA
rnacentral:sRNA from 1 species